AUUCGACUGCUUUUCGAAGAUUUUACAGAUUUACGAAUGUGAAGGGCGAUUUGGUUAUUUCAUGUUUAGAUAUAUUUUGUGGCUUGUUUUGUGAUCCAUGUGGGGCCCACACCCCACUCCUACCUUAUCCCGUGUCCUCUCUCUCCAAAAAUCUCAAUCUCUCUUUUUCAAACUCUCCCAUUUCUUUUAAACCCUUAGACCACUCUCUUGUUGACAGCUCACUAAGUUUAUUAUUUUAAAAUUCUUUAUUUCCCCUCGUUUUCUUCUUCUUCUUUGAAAAUAGCUUAAAAUACUAAAAUAACUACGAACUAACAACAUAAAUGCCAAGAAACAAGCUAACUAAGUCGCAUAAAUAUGCUCCUAUCAAAUUCCCCCACACUUAGCUUUUGCUAGUCCUCGAGCAAAACAAAACAAACAAAACAAAACACAACCUAUACCUUCCAACAAUUGCCUCAGGGAUUUUGAAUGAAACAUGACAUGUUAAAAAUCAUCAUUCCCACAGAUUUUGGUCAUCCUUACACCUGAGCACAUACUUAUAGUCACCACUUACUAGUUCACAAUUAACCAAUUAAAACGAUGUUUUGAAUGUAGUAACAUGCCUUAGAGAAUUUACUCAAUUCCUUACAAGAUACUCCCUAUUUUCACACACAUUUUCUGACUACACACCCUACACUAGUUAUAUGUGAGAAGAUUAAUGUAAACAUGAAAACGAACACUCACAUAUAUGUAUAACAAAGAGGGCAAUUUUCUGGAGUUAUUCAGCAUGUUAAGAUAUGAUCUCAUGAAUGGAAUGCUACUACUUAGAUGCAAGAACCAGUGACACCAUAUGCUCAAACCAAUUCCAAACUCCACAUAUUGAAACGCAUAACACUCAAGAUAAAGUUAAGGGUUGUAACGGGGUUUAAGGGUAAUGGCUAACAAAGAAAGGAUAAGGAUAACAAACGUUCUGAAAGCAAUAGCAAGCAAAGUAAUGAAAUAGACACUUGGAAUUCACUUAAUAAUGCAGAAAUUAACUUUUAAACACAAAGGGAAGAUUCAAGCAACACUUAGGGCCGAAUUCAAUGUUUUGGACCCUUUCUUCAACAAACAACACUUUAGAGCUCUUUUUUCACAUAUUUUUCAACUCUUUUUCACUCUUUUCACAACUUUUCUUCUUUUCAUUCUAUUUUCCACGAAUGUUUCUUUUUUUCCUUUUCUUUUCUACCCGUGCCUUAUUAAGGACUUUGGCACACACACACACACACACACACAAGAAUCACUUCCCUCACACUUGUUUUUCUGCAAAAGUUUAACAAAAGGAAUUCCUUCUAAAUUAUGUUUUACUAUGCUUCAAGAACAAGGGUAUGGAUGGUCCUAAUCUAGGCUAGGUGAGGAUAGUGUGGGUUAACAAAGAACAUAGGCUACAAAAGGCUCAACGGGGUUAAACUUAAACACAUAAUGAAAUAGGGCACGGCAAUUUGGCUGUGGUGGUCACUACACAACUUCAUCUUGAAUAUGUGUUAUGCAAAUCAAUAGCAUGUUUUGAAUGAAAUAGGCAUGAGUUCUAGCAUUUGGAACUAAAUGAUGAAACGCCUUCUAAGUAGCAACCAAGCAAAGAAUAAUGAGAUCAUGCAACGACUUUAGAAAACAAUAGUGCACAGAUUAUUAACUCUCCAAAUAAACGUUUAGGCUCAAGUCUCACAAGGUUGUAGCGUUCAUUUGAGUUCCUUCCUUCAAGCAUGUUACAAAAAUUGAUUUUUCCUUUAUGAUUGCAUGUGAAUUCAUAAAUUAUAACCACAACCAAGCAUACACCAAAGAGUAAAUCAAAUUGUCAUCCAUGUUUAUAACUCUCUUUAACAGUCAUGAAAUUAAAAACCAAAUCCUUAUCAUUGUGUUGGAAGGUACCCUAAGACACAAAUAAACACACAAAAACAACUCUUUUUGGGUUUUUCAAAAUAAUUUUUCAAAUUUUUAUGAGAUUUUUGGAUUUUUAUGUCAAAACACACUGAAACACUCUAAAACAGCUUAAAAACACUUAAAACAGCAAGGAACAACACUAGAAGUAAUGGGUGAUAAACUCCUACGAAUUUCAUUUUUAUGUCAAAACACACUAAAACACUCCAAAACAACUUAAAAACACUUAAAACAGCAAGGAACAACACUAGAAGUAAUGGGUGAUAAACUCCUACGAAUUUCAUUUUU
rnacentral:lncRNA from 1 species